CAACGCCGCGUGGAGGAUGAAGCCCUUGGGGCGUAAACUCCUUUCGAUCGGGACGAUAAUGACGGUACCGACGAGAAGAAGCCCGGCUAACUUCGUGU
rnacentral:rRNA from 1 species